CAGGCGGGACAACGCGAUCCAGCCGGCGGCGGCCAGCACGGCGAGUGCGGCCGGCGGGGGCAGCAGGCGCUGGCACAGCCAGUCGAGCGCGGCCAGCAGCGCCAGCGCCGCCAGCAGCGGGCGGCCCAGACGCAGGGCAGGUGCCCCCGGCCCCCCACCACCGCCCUCGCCCCACCCCCUCGACCAGAUUCGAUUUGGAAAAAGCCGGAACAAAGUCCCAAAGUUGCUGCGCUCGAGGAGCCGCCUGGCUGCGGGCGGUGCUGGGGAGAGGGCCCGUCGGUCCAGCCCGGGUGCCCGGCCUCAGCUCUCCGCCGCGCCCCCACCCACACGCUCGGGGCCGCCGAGCCGCCGCGCUCAGGUGAGCACAUGUCACUCACGCUUGUUCGGGACACCUGAGGACACGCACAACCGGCAUCCCGGUGUCCUUUGCUGAUCGCACCACCGCGGCCGCCAAGCCUGCAGGAACACCGCGGGGAACCAGCCGGUGCUC
rnacentral:lncRNA from 1 species